rnacentral:sRNA from 1 species
CAGAGGUGCCUCGCCGAUCGAGCGUGGUGGAAGCACAGGAACUCCCACCAUCGCAGGUCAGCAGGCACCUCUCGCUGUUCCGUCCUCCGCAGGCCGAACGUCACGCCGUGGAUCGAG